AUGCCCAGGGGAAUCCAGUGUGGGAUUAUGACAAGCAAUGGCAGUUAGCUGGAUUUGCUGCCACUUUUUAACAGUCAGCAGCAAGAUGAACUUGGACCGUCAAAAAUAAACUCCAGGAAUGAAGUGAUUGCAGGAGUGCUAUUCAGGUGCCUUAUGUCUGGCGUGUUUGUUUGCCUUCCCAGGGCCAGCAAGCUUCCUCAGGGAUUACUGAGGCAUCUCCUUGGAAAUCACAGCUCAUUAAUCCUGCUGUGAAGAAAGAGGCAGCCAGGACCUCUGGCUUUUCCUUUUUCUGAGCCAUAUUCUGUUCCAGCCAGCUUGGAUACCUUACAUGGACCUUAACAGGGCUCAUUACCCAGCACCAGUUGGGACUCGCUACCAUCUGUAAACUGUGCAGCCUGGAGGGAGCCUGUUGACUGGCAAUGCCAGAGAUGUCUCUUCUCUUUGCCUUUGUAAAGUCAUUUCUUUUAGGUGUGGUGAUUAAUUUAUUGAAAUUCAGGUGAAGACACCUGACCAUUUGACAGAGGGAA
rnacentral:lncRNA from 1 species